rnacentral:lncRNA from 1 species
CAGAGAAAAACCACUGCAAGUGUGCAGGUGUCUCAGUCAGAAUGAAGACUUCUCUGGUUUCCCUCUGUCUUCUAUUUGCCGUUUUGACAGAUUGCACCUUAAUCCUUGAGAAGUCUGAGGGUCAAAACGUCUCCAUUCAGUGCUCACACAAACUUGCAUGGGGUAACGACAAAUACUUCUGCAAGAAUCCAUGUAAGAGCAAAGGUGAUAUACUGGGAACUGUAAAGCCUGGUAAACAAGCAAAAUAUGAGAGAAUUACGCUGAUGGAUUCAGGGGACGGUGUCCUCACAGUCAACAUUUCUCAACUCCAGCUGUCAGACUCAAAGACAUACUUUUGUGCUGUAGAUCGUCCUGGGUUUGACACAUAUCAUGAAGUACGCCUAACUGUUACAAAAGCUGUAACAACAAAUGAAACGACUUCUUCAUUAACGACUGUCACCGACUUCACACAAUUGGCAACUGAAAUAAGCACAACAAUUCCAACAGCAACAAACCUUACUUAUGAAUUCAACCUGAACAUAAAGAACACAGAAACUGAUGUCAGUCUGUAUGCUGUGGGGGGCAUCUUCCUUCUCUUUCUCCUGAUUCUGGCAAUAUUAGCAUGGAAAUACCGAAACACCAGAAAUCUUCGACGAGCAGCUUCCUCCCACGACACUGACGUGUACCACGCACCUGAACGAGAGGUUGAAAGUCAAUUUGAAGAUUCCAAUAAUAAGAGGCGGUGCCGUGUAAAGCCACCUGAGAGGACAUCUGUUCCAGUACAGCACCAACAUUCUGCUCCAUCUGCCUCUACUUCCAAGGCAACAGAGUACGAUUAUAGCUUUAGUACUUAUGAAAACAUCUCUCUCUCCAAAAGACAUGCUGGAUUCAGACAAUCCCCUGUAGAGGACCAAAAAGGUGAAGAAUCAGAAACCUUUAAGGAAUCUUUGCCACCAAUGGCAUGUGAAAGAAAGGCGGCUGGUUCUCUUCAGCAAUCUUUAAUACAGAAAAAUGCAAGAUGCUCUAAGUACGAUUUAUUACAGUUUGAUACAUCCAGAAAUGGAGCAAAUGGAGAAAAAGACAAGUCUCUUUGGUUUGGUAUAGAUUUAUCCGAAAGGAAUCAAAAUCGAAGUUGAAUGUAGCCCAUUCUGGUUUUAGUGUGCAUUAAAAAAAGAAAUCAUAAAUAUACAGUAUACGGUGUAUGACUAACUUUAUGUUAUUGAAGUGAACUUCAUUAAGCGAGGGCCUAAUCUCAGGACUAUUGUUAUUGUUUUUAUGUAUGUUGACUGUUGUCAAAAAAAAAAAAAAAAAAAGGAAACUUCAUUAAUGCAAUAUUAUUUGUGUGCUGAUUCAUUUGAUGAACCACAACUGAAACUCUGCAGAAUAAUCUUACACAAUUACACACUCUUACACAAUAUUAAUAAAGCCUUAUUAAUAAUAAUAAAAAAAAAGGCA